rnacentral:rRNA from 1 species
GGCUCAGAGCGAACGCUGGCGGCAGGCUUAACACAUGCAAGUCGAGCGGGCGUAGCAAUACGUCAGCGGCAGACGGGUGAGUAACGCGUGGGAACGUACCUUUUGGUUCGGAACAACACAGGGAAACUUGUGCUAAUACCGGAUAAGCCCUUACGGGGAAAGAUUUAUCGCCGAAAGAUCGGCCCGCGUCUGAUUAGCUAGUUGGUAGGGUAACGGCCUACCAAGGCGACGAUCAGUAGCUGGUCUGAGAGGAUGAUCAGCCACAUUGGGACUGAGACACGGCCCAAACUCCUACGGGAGGCAGCAGUGGGGAAUAUUGGACAAUGGGGGCAACCCUGAUCCAGCCAUGCCGCGUGAGUGAUGAAGGCCCUAGGGUUGUAAAGCUCUUUUGUGCGGGAAGAUAAUGACGGUACCGCAAG